rnacentral:rRNA from 1 species
CCCUACGGGGUGCAGCAGCCGCGAAACCUUUACAAUGCACGCAAGUGUGAUAAGGGAACCCAAAGUGCUUAGCUUUGCUAGGCUUUUGCCGAAUGUAAAAAGUUCGGAGAAUAAGCGGUGGGAAAGACUGGUGCCAGCCGCCGCGGUAACACUAGCGCCGCAAGUGGCGAUCAUGUUUAUUUGGCCUAAAGCGUCCGUAGCUGGUUAAGUAAAUCUUUUGUGAAAUUGUUUAGCUCAACUAAACAGCGUGCAGGAGAGACUGCUUGACUAGGGACCGGGAGGAGUCAGAGAUAUGCUUGGGGGAGCGGUAAAAUGCUAUAAUCCUAAGUAGAUCACCGGUGGCGAAGGCGUCUGACUAGAACGGGUCCGACAGUGAGGGACGAAAGCCAGGGGAGCAAACCGGAUUAGAUACCCGAGUAGUCCUGGCCGUAAACGCUGUGAGUUAGGCGUUGCGUAAUCUCCGAGAUUGCGCAGUGUCGAAGCGAAGGUGUUAAACUCACCGCCUGGGAAGUAUGGUCGCAAGACUGAAACUUAAAGGAAUUGGCGGGGGAGCAC